CCCUGAUCCAUGGCAGUGGCCCAUUUGUUUUUUUUUAAUUAAAACCCAAAACCCUUUCUAUUCUUUUUGUCCCACAUUGGAAGUUUGAGCUUCUCACCUCUCUUCCCUCCUCCUAUAUAAGAGACUCCUUCUCUUCUCUUUUUUUCAUCAAGUCAAAGUAUUCUUUGCGCAUGACAAACUGUUGAAUUAUUCAACGACCAGUCACUAGUCAAUUUUUCCGGUGAGAUUUCCGGCGAGCUUCCAGCGGGAUUUCUGGGCGAGCUUCCGGUGGGGUUUUCUAUUGACUUCAGUUGAUCACUUCCGUUGUUUUUUCCGGUCAGUUGCUAAGGUGAGGGCUAUUCCGUUAAAUCCUGAGCUAGUUUAGUACUAUUAUUAUUGAAAGUCUAGUUUCGAAACAUGAUCCGUCUUUGUGAAUCGAGUAUGUUUGAAAGUCUUGGUUGCUUAUUAUUAAUUUGAUUGUUAAACUGGAAAUAGGAUAAUAGAGGAUUCAACGAUUGUGUGAAAUGAUUGAUGUUAAAGACUGUUAUAUAUAUGUAUAUAUCUAGUAAGGACUAUGUGGUGAGUGCGGGGGCCCAGAGUGAUUUGGGCUAGCGACGCAUAUGAGUACGGGGGCCCAGAGAAAUCUGAGCUAGCGACGUAUAGAGUGCGGGGGCACAGAGACAUCUGAGCUAGCGACGCAUAGUGGAUGAGUACGGGGGCCCAGAGACGUCUGAGCUAGCGACGUAUAUUGUGUGGUGCGGGGUGCAGAGACGUUUGCAUAUCGACGCAUAUUGGUGGAGUGCGGGGGUCCAGAGAUGUCUGGACUAUCGACGCAUAUUAUGAUAUCGUAUAUCCGUAUGAGGAGAACGCAGGGUGUGUGGACUAGCUAUGUACCAUCAGCGUAUUGUUUGUUUUGUGUGAUGUGCUAGGCAUCUUGUCUGUUCAUGCUAGAGCUACUCUUACAUAGUCGUAGUGCUAUGUGCUGAGUCUGUGGUUUGCGGGUUAGCAUCCCAUACCUCACUGAGUGACUCCCCUGUUGCUCAUCCCUCUUUCUUUUCUCUUUCAGGUGAGCCUGGCAGACAGGAGUGAUUGCUUUCGGAUUGGUGCUUUGGGAGUUUUAUUCUUAUUUUCAGACUUCGGUUUUAUGCUUUUAUCGAUAUUUUCCGGAUUUAUUUUAUUUAUGCUAUUAUUGGAUUAUGGUGUUGAGUUUGACUUUUGAGAAGUAAUAAAUGGAGACUUUUAUGAGAUUAUUAUUUAUUAUAUUAUUUUAGAAAAUCGGGGUAUUACAAUUUGGUAUCAGAGCGGGGUUCCGUCCCGGCUCUGACCCGGGACGGCGAUUUAUGGGACUCGGAUUUCAGUGAUUUUUUAAUGUUUUGGGAUUGGGAGUUUUUUUUAAAAAAAAUGCACCCUUCUGCCGAGCAUCAUUCGGUUAGUCGUUAGAGAUUCUGGUUUUCUUUUCUUAUGCAGGUGAAUACCAAGUUUCUUUCGUUUCCAUCGUCUAUUACCUUGUAUCUUUCUUUUCUUCGAAGCUGUGGACGUUCUUUCUUCAUCUCUUUGGAAUUCGAGGACGAAUUCUUCUUAAGUGGGGGAGAAUUGUAACGACCCUGAUCCAUGGCAGUGGCCCAUUUGUUUUUUUUUAAUUAAAACCCAAAACCCUUUCUAUUCUUUUUGUCCCACAUUGGAAGUUUGAGCUUCUCACCUCUCUUCCCUCCUCCUAUAUAAGAGACUCCUUCUCUUCUCUUUUUUUCAUCAAGUCAAAGUAUUCUUUGCGCAUGACAAACUGUUGAAUUAUUCAACGACCAGUCACUAGUCAAUUUUUCCGGUGAGAUUUCCGGCGAGCUUCCAGCGGGAUUUCUGGGCGAGCUUCCGGUGGGGUUUUCUAGUAAGUAUGCCGCUUCCAUAUUUUCUAGUUAUAGGAAUCUAUUCAGAGAAUUCUAUUUUAGGGAAUCCGCCAUUUUUAGGAAAUUUCUAUUUUAGGAAAGUUUCUAUUUUGGGAAAGUUUCUAUUUUAGGAAAGUUCCUAUUUUUGGAAACUUUAUUUUCCUGCGACUCUGAGCCUAAGUCGUUAAUCCUCGUGUUGCAGUUGACUUCAGUUGAUCACUUCCGUUGUUUUUUCCGGUCAGUUGCUAAGGUGAGGGCUAUUCCGUUAAAUCCUGAGCUAGUUUAGUACUAUUAUUAUUGAAAGUCUAGUUUCGAAACAUGAUCCGUCUUUGUGAAUCGAGUAUGUUUGAAAGUCUUGGUUGCUUAUUAUUAAUUUGAUUGUUAAACUGGAAAUAGGAUAAUAGAGGAUUCAACGAUUGUGUGAAAUGAUUGAUGUUAAAGACUGUUAUAUAUAUGUAUAUAUCUAGUAAGGACUAUGUGGUGAGUGCGGGGGCCCAGAGUGAUUUGGGCUAGCGACGCAUAUGAGUACGGGGGCCCAGAGAAAUCUGAGCUAGCGACGUAUAGAGUGCGGGGGCACAGAGACAUCUGAGCUAGCGACGCAUAGUGGAUGAGUACGGGGGCCCAGAGACGUCUGAGCUAGCGACGUAUAUUGUGUGGUGCGGGGUGCAGAGACGUUUGCAUAUCGACGCAUAUUGGUGGAGUGCGGGGGUCCAGAGAUGUCUGGACUAUCGACGCAUAUUAUGAUAUCGUAUAUCCGUAUGAGGAGAACGCAGGGUGUGUGGACUAGCUAUGUACCAUCAGCGUAUUGUUUGUUUUGUGUGAUGUGCUAGGCAUCUUGUCUGUUCAUGCUAGAGCUACUCUUACAUAGUCGUAGUGCUAUGUGCUGAGUCUGUGGUUUGCGGGUUAGCAUCCCAUACCUCACUGAGUGACUCCCCUGUUGCUCAUCCCUCUUUCUUUUCUCUUUCAGGUGAGCCUGGCAGACAGGAGUGAUUGCUUUCGGAUUGGUGCUUUGGGAGUUUUAUUCUUAUUUUCAGACUUCGGUUUUAUGCUUUUAUCGAUAUUUUCCGGAUUUAUUUUAUUUAUGCUAUUAUUGGAUUAUGGUGUUGAGUUUGACUUUUGAGAAGUAAUAAAUGGAGACUUUUAUGAGAUUA